CAUCCUGGGCUCAGGAAAAUCAAACUUCUAUUUUUUUCGAACCCAAUAAAGGCCAGUAUUGUAAGUCUGUGUAAACAGAGGCCAGACGGGUAGGGAGCCGGGAAGACAAGUGGUCCGCCCUCUGGCGGUCGCACGAGACAGCGUGUCCCGCGCUCCGCCGAGCUGCGACAGCAAGGCGGGGAGGAUGCGGGCUGAAAUGACGCAGAGAUCCAUUACUGCGCGCGGCAGGGGAGAGGAUGCUGCGAGGAGCUGGUGCGGGCCACAUGGCAGCCUUACCAGCUCGCCCCGACUUCACCAGCCUCUGACGGGAUCCGCGCGGGGGUGGACAUUGGGAGGAUCCAGACCAGCAGUCUGCAGCCCCUCUGCUCUCUGCAGGGCUCUAUCCCUGGGCGUGCCCCCUAAGGACUCACUCCUGCCCAUCUUACCUCGAUGACAUCCUCAGUCUUUAUGCAGAGGGGGGCAAAAAAGGCAAAUGAAUUAAAAACAGCAUGAGGGCUCCCCUGCAGAUUAGGGGCUCACAGUGGCCAGUUCCAACUAUAGACUUGAUUGCCUUUUGACAAAGAUUUCCAACCUAGCUUCCUCAAGGUACUGCAUUACUCAGUCCCUGCUCAGGCAAUUGUUGCUGUAAAUAGCUGUAGUCCCCCUCCUUCCCUGUGGAAACACGGAUGGAAAUGAAUUUGCAGCAGGGACUCUGCAUAAUACUUAAGGUCUUGGUGGGGAGAUGGAUGUGCCCUCUAUCAGCUCCUGACAUACUAGGACAUCUGGGCAUUCCCAGGCCCGUUUGCCCCAAUGAUGGAAAUCAUCUCUGAUAUAUGAAAAACGUCCACAGCUAGCAUUUGUGUUAACAUUGUUAAAUUGUUUUCAGGUUUUGAAAGAUGCUACGGAAAAAGAGGCAAAACCUGAUACAGCACCACCCCCAACACAAGAUCAAAUCGUAGUAUUUCUUUGGGAUAAAUAAGCAUUCUCUUCUUACAAAUGCAUAUGCAUAUAGCCUCUUUUGUAUUAUAGACUUACAUUCUUAAAUUGUUGCUCUCCUUUAUUUGACAACUUUCUUUAAUAAACAUCUACUAUUUUUAUAAUAGAAAAAAAUGUUAAAGACCUAAAGAAUUUGAACAUGUAGCCUAAAUGUACAUUAGAUAUAUUUUUAGAAUUAAUUUAUUAACUGCUCUAUCAUUUGACAUAAAAGGCUUUUGAACUAAAGAUAGAAACGGAAGCAUUCUUUAUUUAGAAACAAACUUUCUCCUCCUCUUCCAAUUUUUGCUGGCUUACCUCCAAAACACCCUGCAUCUGUCCCUUUCUCAGUUUCCCACUGCCUCUCACACAGUUACCAGCCGUCACACAUUAUCCUUCACCUGGAUUCUGAAAAUACCAUCUUGUCCACAUUUUCUGGCUCCACCUUCUCCCCACUGCGGUCCUCACUUGCCAUGUAGAAACCAGACUGUUCUUUUAAAAUGAAAAGUCAGAGCCUAUCUCUUCUCCUUACAUAAAACCUUCCAUGGCUUCUCACGGCAGCUCCCUUAAAAUCCCAAUUCUUCACCAUGGCAUACCAUCUGGCUCCAACUUGCCCUUGCUUCUCUCCCUGCAGAAUCAUUUUCUCACUUUUUUUUUCAUAGCACAUUUUUCACAUAACCCCUUCUUUGUGAUCCUCAAGCCCACCAGCUUGCUCACCUCCCAAUCUGAGCUCUUGCUAUUGGCUCUGUGCUAAACAUCCACUCUCAGAAAGUCUUAAAUCUGCCUCGUUCUCAUCAUUCUUGUCUCAGCUCAAAUAUGAAAGACCUUCUGCCCUUCCAAAACUUGUUGUUGCCUUAUCUUAUUGCAACACAGCAAUUAACUAGAAUUGCUUUGCUUAUCGAGGAAAAUAUCAGUGUAGGCUCUGCUUUCACACUUCAGGAUGUCAGCCCCACAAAUAGAGGUCCUUAUCUUUCUACUAUCUGUGGGUUCUAGAAUAGUGCCUGUUCAUAGUUGGUAUUCAAUAAAUAUUUAUUGAAUAAAUUAUUGAGUGUGAUUUCCUGGUAUGUAGUCUAUAAAUUCCACUAAUAGCACUCUGCAUAUUCUGCCUUGAAUUUUUAAAUUAUUUUUAUGCCCAUAUGCUUCCUCCUUUCAAGUGUGAACUCUGUGAGGCUGGAUCAUAUUUAGUUCAUAAUUUUAUUUUCCAUGGCCUUAUGGAGUCUGGCACAUUACAGGGAGUUUAAUAUAUUUGUUGGAUCAAAUUGCCAUAAAUGAAUUGAUAAUGAGGUGAUACAAUAUGACUUUCCCUCAGGUCUAACCUUUCACCUGGGAAAAUGAAAAAAAAAAUCGCAAUAUCCAAAGAGACAGAUCGUUACAUUGGUCCUAUAACAUCACACACACACACACACACACACACACACACA